rnacentral:rRNA from 1 species
CCUACGGGGGGCAGCAGUGGGGAAUUUUUCGCAAUGGGGGCAACCCUGACGAAGUCAAUGCCGCGUGGAUGAAGAAGGCCUUCGGGUUGUAAAGUCCUUUCGUGGGGGACCGAAAAGGCGGGCCC